CCUUAAACCCUGCUGGAAUGUGUCUCCAAUAACAGCAUUAGGUGUCACAAGGUCCACAUCACAUGGCACCCACGGCUCUUCCCACAGAACCUGUAAGUGGUGCCUGGACCCCUGGGAAGCAUUUGUCCAAACACCAUAGAGAGAACACUGAAAAGAUAGACAACCACCCCAAUUCCUAAUGGAGAGCAGCUGUGGAGAGCCUGGAACAAAAGGCUACACGCUAACUAUUAAAAUACACAAUAAAUAUUAAAUAAAUAUUUUAAAAACCUUUUGUG